ACCUCAUCUCUUGUAUGUGGAGUCACAUGUUCAACAAGUGACAUUAGUGUUGAGUACAUGUGUGAGUGAUUAAAGCCCCAUAUUAUCUUAUGAAAGGGUGGAAUGUUGGAUUUAUAAGAGAGAUAAUACAUUUACCUAACACCUUAAGGUUUUGAGUUGAGAUGUGGUGUCUCCCUCUAUUGUGGUCCUGGAGCAUUAAUCUCAUUGCUGCUCCCGACUCUCUUGUACUCCCUAAUAGUGGUAUUAGAG
rnacentral:lncRNA from 1 species